UAUGUAAUUGGAGAUGGUAUUCCUCCAUUAACCGCUGCUCCACCGACAGCUAAUGAUGUCUACGUACAA
rnacentral:ncRNA from 1 species